CAGCAGCCGCGGUAAUACGUAGGGGGCGAGCGUUGUCCGGAUUUAUUGGGCGUAAAGGGCUCGUAGGCGGCUUGGCAAGUCGGCCGUGAAAACCCAGGGCUCAACUCUGGGACGCCGGUCGAUACUGCCAUGGCUAGGGUCCGGUAGAGGGGAAUGGAAUUCCCGGUGUAGCGGUGAAAUGCGCAGAUAUCGGGAGGAACACCAGUAGCGAAGGCGGUUCCCUGGGCCGGCACCGACGCUGAGGAGCGAAAGCGUGGGGAGCAAACAGGAUUAGAUACCCUGGUAGUCCACGCCGUAAACGUUGGGUACUAGGCGUGGCGUCUUAUCAACGGAUGCCGUGCUCGAAGCUAACGCGUUAAGUACCCCGCCUGGGGAGUACGGCCGCAAGGCUAAAACUCAAAGGAAUUGACGGGAGCCCGCACAAGCGGCGGAGCAUGCGGCUUAAUUCGAUGCAACCCGAAGAACCUUACCUGGGCUUGACAUCGCGGGAAAAGCCUUGGAAACAAGGUGUGCGAGAGCGUCCGUGACAGGUGGUGCAUGGUUGUCGUCAGCUCGUGUCGUGAGAUGUUGGGUUAAGUCCCGCAACGAGCGCAACCCCUGUGCUAUGUUGCCAGCACGUAAAGGUGGGGACUCAUAGGAGACUGCCGGGGAUAACUCGGAGGAAGGUGGGGACGACGUCAAAUCAUCAUGCCCCUUAUGCCCAGGGCUGCACGCAUGCUACAAUGGUCGGUACAACGGGUCGCGAUCCUGCAAAGGGGAGCCAAUCCCUCAAAGCCGGUCUCAGUUCGGAUUGGAGUCUGCAACUCGACUCCAUGAAGUCGGAGUCGCUAGUAAUCGCAAAUCAGCAAAGUUGCGGUGAAUACGUUCUCGGGCUUUGUACACACCGCCCGU
rnacentral:rRNA from 1 species